UUGAAGUAAGGUAACACUUACCGGAGGACCGAACCAGUUGACGUUGAAAAGUCUUUGGAUGACUUGUGGUAAGGGGUGAAAGGCCAACCAAAUUCGUAGAUAGCUGGUUUUCCGCGAAAACUAUUUAGGUAGUGCGUUGAAUAAAUAGACAUUUAGAGGUAGAGCACUAAAUGGGCUAGGGGGAAGAGAUUCUUACCAAACCUAAUAAAACUCCGAAUGCUAAAUGUUGUUCUUCAGCAGACAGACUGUGGGUGCUAAGGUCCAUGGUCGAGAGGGAAAGAGCCCAGACCACCAGAUAAGGUCCCCAAAUUAUGAUUAAGUGUGAAAGGAUGUGGAAAUUCCUUAACAGCCGGGAGGUUGGCUUAGAAGCAGCCAUCCUUUAAAGAUAGCGUAACAGCUCACCGGUCUAAUAGAGUUUCUGCGCCGAAGAUGUAACGGGGCUAAAAUCAUAUACCGAAUCUGUGGAUUUAUAAUUUUUUCGAAAAUUGUAACUGGUAGCGGAACGUUCUGUAAGCCUGUGAAGGGAUACCCGCGAGGGAUCCUGGAGGUAUCAGAAGUGCGAAUGCUGACAUAAGUAACGAUAAAAGAAGUGAAAAACUUCUUCGCCGAAAAUCCAAGGGUUUCUGCGCAAGGUUAAUCCGCGCAGAGUUAGUCGGCACCUAAGGCGAGGGCGAAAGCCGUAGUCGAUGGAAAUAAGGUUAAUAUUCCUUAACCAGAUGGUAGUGACGGAUCUUGUAAGUUGUGAGUUCUUAAUGGAUUGAACUUGCCGCGAAAAGGUUCCAAGAAAUAGCUCCAUCAUUAGACCGUACCCUAAACCGACACAGGUGGAUUAAUAGAGUAUAUUUAGGCGCUUGAGAGAAUGAUGUUGAAGGAACUCGGCAAAAUACUUCCGUAACUUCGGGAUAAGGAAGACCUUUUUGUAGGCAACUAUAAGAGGGUGGCACAAGCCAGGGAGAAGCGACUGUUUAUCAAAAACACAGGGCUCUGCUAACACGUAAGUGGAUGUAUAGGGUCUGACGCCUGCCCGGUGCUGGAAGGUUAAUGCGGUUGGUGCAAGCUAACUUCUGAAGCCCCAGUAAACGGCGGCCGUAACUAUAACGGUCCUAAGGUAGCGAAAUUCCUUGUCGGGUAAGUUCCGACCUGCAUGAAUGGCGUAACGAUUUCUCCGCUGUCUCCAACAUCAACUCAGUGAAAUUGAAUUCUCCGUGAAGAUGCGGAGUUCGCGUAGUUAGACGGAAAGACCCCGUGCACCUUUACUGCAACUUUACAUUGGUAUUAGGAAAAACAUAUUUAGCAUAGGAGGGAGACAUUGAAGCAAAGGCGUCAGCUUUUGUGGAGUCACCAGUGAAAUACCUCUUUUGUUUUUCUUGGUAUCUAACUGAUCGCCGUCAUCCGGCAUCAA
rnacentral:rRNA from 1 species